rnacentral:lncRNA from 10 species
GAACCCCUGCUAGAGAGGUGAUGCAGUUGUUUGGAGUUCUGCCGGAGGCCUCUCCAGAUUGUGAUGCACUGGGAGCAAGCCACCAUGAACAUAUCCUCAGGUCUCCAGUCUUCUGCCAUCGCAUGAAAAAUGGAGCUUGUCAAACACAGAGCAGAGCUGAACUUUCUGAAUUCCACAGGACAGUUCAGAGUGCUUGGAAUGACACCCACCUGCAAUUUAAACAAAAAAGAAGGAUGAGUAAGUGAGGAGCUAAAAAUUGCAUGUUUCCCUAAAUUAGAUUUAUUUGUAAGCUUUAAGUAAGUGCAAACAUAUUUCGAAUUAUCUGU